rnacentral:ncRNA from 1 species
AAGAUUAAAAGGCAAACUUAAGGUAACUUAAGGACGCAAAACUAAAGGGUCUAAUUAGUAAUAGACAGCCAGUUGCAUCG